UUUUUAACAUCAUGACUUUCAAUUGUAGGCAGUUGAGUGUGCAAAAUAUGAUUCAGUGGGGACUCAAGUGCAACCACACAAAAUCCAAGUGAGGAUGUGAUUGCAGUGUGGGAGACAACUCUACAUUUCCAAACCAUGUAGAGGAAUGCGGAAGAGCUCAGACGAAUGCAUCUCUCUCAGCACCUCUCAUCUGGGCUGUCAUUGGAUUGCAUGGAAUCCAGUAUUCUCCCAUGAAGAUAAAAGUGAAUUGGACUAGCAUGUCAUUGGCCUGGAAUUUUCAUGGCUCUUACCUGCUUCCCCAUUAAAUGAGUACUAGGAGUUGGUGGACAAAUUGAAUCUUUAGAUUUUAUCUAUUUGUUCAUGAAAGACACAGAGAGAAGGCAGAGAUAUAAGCGGAGGGAGAAGCAGG